GCACUUGUUGUAUCAAUGGUAGUACCUUAGUCUUCCAAACUAAAGGUGCCAGUUCGAAUCUGGUCAAGUGCU
rnacentral:tRNA from 1 species